rnacentral:rRNA from 1 species
GAUGAACGCUGACAGAAUGCUUAACACAUGCAAGUCUACUUGAACUUCGGUUUGGGUGGCGGACGGGUGAGUAACGCGUAAAGAACUUGCCUCACAGUUAGGGACAACAUUUGGAAACGAAUGCUAAUACCUGAUAUUAUGAUUUUAGGGCAUCCUAGGAUUAUGAAAGCUAUAUGUGCUGUGAGAGAGCUUUGCGUCCCAUUAGCUAGUUGGAGAGGUAACGGCUCACCAAGGCGAUGAUGGGUAGCCGGCCUGAGAGGGUGAACGGCCACAAGGGGACUGAGACACGGCCCUUACGCAUACGGGAGGCAGCAGUGGGGAAUAUUGGAAAAUGGACCAAAAGUCUGAUCCAGCAAUUCUGUGUGCACGAUGACGUUUUUCGGAAUGUAAAGUGCUUUCAGUUGGGAAGAAAAAAAUGACGGUACCAACAGAAGAAGUGACGGCUAACUACGUG